AACGAACGUUGGCGGCGUGGAUGAGGCAUGCAAGUCGAACGCGAAAGCCGCAAGGUGAGUAGAGUGGCGGACGGGCGAGUAACACGUAAUCAAGCUACCUGCGAGACGGGGAUAACCUCGGGAAACCGAGGCUAAGACCCGAUGGCCUUCCGGGACCGCAUGGUUCUGGAAGUAAAUGGGCGGGAUCCUCCGGGAUCGCCUGCUCGCAGAGGUGAUUGCGGCCCAUCAGCUAGUUGGUAGGGUAACGGCCUACCAAGGCAACGACGGGUAGCCGGCCUUAGAGGGUGGUCGGCCGCACUGGGACUGAGACACUGCCCAGACUCCUACGGGAGGCUGCAGUCGAGAAUCUUCCGCAAUGGGCGAAAGCCUGACGGAGCGACGCCGCGUGGAGGACGAAGGCCUUCGGUUGUAAACUCCUGUCACGAGUUAAGAAGGUGCUAUCGCGAACAGCGGUAGUAUUUGACGUAAGCUCGAGAGGAAGCACUGGCUAACUCUGUGCCAGCA
rnacentral:rRNA from 1 species